rnacentral:rRNA from 1 species
UACGUAGGGUGCGAGCGUUAAUCGGAAUUACCGGGCGUAAAGCGUGCGCAGGCGGUUUUGUAAGUCAGAUGUGAAAGCCCCGGGCUCAACCUGGGAACUGCGUUUGAAACUGCAAGGCUAGAGUGUAGCAGAGGGGGGUAGAAUUCCACGUGUAGCAGUGAAAUGCGUAGAGAUGUGGAGGAAUACCAAUGGCGAAGGCAGCCCCCUGGGUUAACACUGACGCUCAUGCACGAAAGCGUGGGGAGCAAACAGG